rnacentral:rRNA from 1 species
GUCUAAGGCCAUACCACCCUGAACGCGCCCAAUCUCGUCUGAUCUAGGAAGCUAAGCAGGGUAGGGCCUGGCUAAUAAUUGGAUGGGAUACCACUUGAGAAAUAUCAGGUGCUGUAGGCU